AGUGAAAAGGAAACGUGCUGCCAGGGGACAAAGGCUGGUCGGUGAAAACAAGAAAAUGGACGCUAAAGGACUGUAACAACUCCUAAAUUUCUGUGGAACCAAGGGUGCUGUUGAAGCUGGGACAGAGUGGCACAGGCGUCAGGGUUUCUUGUCAGGCAUGCGCUCAGCAGAUCUUGGCAGGCUGCGAUGACAGAUGCAAGAAAAAGUUGAAGAUGGCAACUUCAGUGGUCUACGAACUACAACGCUGCUGACAGUAUCAUGGCCAGUACUGACUGGAUCCUUAAACUUACUGUGAGAGAGCCUUGCGUCGAUUUCCAGCCUGAGGAAGAACUCCUCCGGUUCGAAUGGAGCGCAAUGCAGAAUUUCGAAGAGCAGUCUCGAGCUGCCAAACUGUGGUGGGGUUGGCCUUGUACUCCCCACAUGCAGAAACUUCUGUAGGAGCCAAGUCAAUGGUUCCUACAAGACAUACAGAGAGAAAUAAAUGAUGAGACUCAGCCUGAGAACAACAGCAGAUGUGAAUGAAGAGCAGGAGGUGAACACUGUACCAAGGAAAUUCUUGUGCACCAAAGUGUUUCCAAAGCCGCCAUUUCCAAGAUCGAUGAUACAGACACGAGGGAGCUGGUGUCAAUGAGGACGUUUUCCAUCUUGAUGUCACGAUGGAAAACGUUUGCAGUGUCCAUCGUGACUGCUGCGACCACGAGCUGCUUCAAGAUGUUCUGAGAUGAAGACAAACAGAUGAAAUUUGAAAGGGGACAUCUAGAAAAUGAUAUUUUUCAUGGCUUCUAUGCAAAUAGUUGGCCUGCUCACUCUUCUUGUGUGACAUUACACAACCAAGUAAACCUUGUGUUAGUUGCCUAUUUCCGAAAAUGCGUUGGUGAACAAAGCGUUCUUAACUUUGUGUGUCCGCUGCUUGCUCCACAUGCAUGUAUCUCCACACGAAAUGACGAAAAGUUUAAUAAGCCUGCUUAGUUAUGAAGUGCUGCCUUCACGAAUGAAAAUGAAAAUGCUUUUCCAAGCAGCCACUUGUCUCUGACAGUGCCAAAACUAACCUAUGGAAAAUAAUAGGGCAGUCCAAAAGUAAUGAGGCCUAUUUAAUUUAACCUACUAAUCAGUGAAAUGUUCAGUUUGUAGUUUAAAUACUUGUUUGAAGGUGAAUUAAAAAUAAAAAGUUUUGUUUAAGCCUGUUCUUUUCCUGUCAGCCAUUUUGGAAAUGGCAUCUUUGUUGGAUGCCCUUCAGAAGCAGAGCGCUGUGAACCACCACUAAACAAUUUCUAAAGGUUGCAAAAUGUGACUGGGGAAGCUGCAAUAGGCUACAGCGCAGUCAAAAAGUUCUUCUUCACCUUUGAUCGUGGACACCCACGUUUAGGACAAUUAUUGGGAUGUGUUAAAUAAAUUGUACAAAGUUAUCAUUUAUUUGCUGGCUUGGAUUGGUAUUGUGGACAAUUUUGAUGGUUGCUUGCUGACCGUGGGGGAGAGGAAGAUGUCUCGCCUUCAAGAAAAUGACUCAGCAGGAAUCAUCAGAAAAGGGCACCUUGAUCAAGGACACAUUGCCAGGUGUUGGGCGAGAUAGAUCCAACAUUAAAAUUGGUCCUUCGAGACGGAUGUCAACACACCUGAGGAUUCCAGUUGUGGAGCCGACUUCCAGUUAAGAGACCGUGGCCACGGCAAGUAAGACCCUUUACGGGACUGGUCUUUGUUCUCCUCAACUGGGAUCUGAAGGUUGACGACAAUCCACAGGAUUGAAGACGACUUUGAUGUGUUAAUUUUUUUAAAAAAGGAUUAAAGAGUGAGUGAAUUGCGCGACAAAGAAUUAUGCGGCAGAAUAAACCUUGUGUAAUACUAGUCACUGGCAAGUAAAAGAGGGACGGCGGAGUCCGAGAAAUUCCGCGAGGAUGGCGUGUUUCCGUGUUUUCGUGUGUUUGUAAAAACGUUACUAGUAUCGUGUAAAUGUGUAAAAGUAUGAAUGUAUAAGACAGGAUUGUAAGUGACAACUGGGUUUGGAAGCAGAUGCAAGAAUCCUCUGCCCCGUGUGGGAAGAAGUUUGAGGAUUACCAAAACCCAGACGUUCAUUGUCACUUGAAUAAAGUCAGUAUUGAGGUCACUCUGUGCAAAUAAACUGACUUCCAAAUUCACAAAAUGGGAAAAAAUAACAGUAAAACGGAUCCAAAAGAACGCUUAAUGUGUAAAGACUGGAAAUAUGUUCAACUCCAAAACCCUUCCAAAAAAAAAACAUUUAAACACGUGGAUGACCAAAUACGGUUUCGCUGGCCAGCUAAAUUCGCAAAAAUUGGUUAAACUUCGAGACGAAAUAAAAUGUUGACACAAAAAUAAUAUAUCAAAAAUAGAAAAAGGGAUAUGACGACUUUUUCUUCUGGCUCAACAUGGUGUCUAAAAGAGAAAAAGGAAGUAAGAAAAAGAAGGCCUUAAAAAGUGAACAGAAAAGGCAGGCAGGUAGGGAUAAAGAUAUGUUGUUUCAAAGACAGGAAGAUGAUGAGACAGGACCAGUAAGUAGUAAGAGUAAGUGGGAAAAAUAUGGUUGAAAAAAAGUGUGAAAAGAAUGAGGAAACGGUGACGUAGGCAGUUUGAGAGUGACGUAGGCGGUUUGAGUUUGAGCUUGCGCCCGGGAACGUGCAGCGCUUCUGUCUGGAUGAAAUCGAAGUGUCGGUUUCCUCUUCGAAGAGCACAACCCAUCGCCCAGGUGUGAGGGAACCGGCCGGCGCGGCGGACCUUUUGGCGAGGCAGCGAAGUCCGCCGAAGUGAAACGCGUCCUCCUCUUUCUACUCGGCUAACCUCGCUAGCCGCCGAGCUAACGUGCCACCAGCUAGUUGGUCACACCGUGGCGGAGGGAGCUCCUCGUCGGCGGCGCACGAAGGACGAAGUGACCGAAUUUGCCGGCUCCGUCGAAGACGAAGCCCAGCCGCGCACAGGCAAGGUAAACUUUCUGGUGUUUGGACGCCACUCUGUAUUUGGGAACUUGUCGACAGUCAGCCAGCCAGCCAGCUAGCUAGCUAGCUGGCGUGCCAAUUGGGCUUUUCUUGGUCCUCGCAAAAGUCGCAACUUCUUCAACUGCUUUCUUGUCAAAAUGGCUCAAUAUUGGGCGUAUGAUUCCAAACAACCUUUUUGACGCGGUUUCUUCUUGUCUUGCUGUGUUAUCAUGUGUGCCAAUGAGCCUCCACUUCUGACGGCUGAGCCUCCACCACCACCGACGGCUGGGCCUCCACCACCACCGACGGCUGGGCCUCCACCGCUGCCGGCUGAUGUGGAAGCUGGCAGCGUAAAACUAUAUGCAAACAUUGCCAAUAAAAGAAACAGGGGGCUGCCAAACCCCACAAUACUUCUUCUUUCU